GACGAACGCUGGCGGCGUGCUUAACACAUGCAAGUCGAACGGAAAGGCCCCUUUGGGGGUACUCGAGUGGCGAACGGGUGAGUAACACGUGAGUAACCUGCCCUUGCCUUCGGGAUAACUUCAGGAAACUGGGGCUAAUACCGGAUAGGAAUCCUUGCUGCAUGGUGGGGGUUGGAAAGCUUCGGCGGUUUUGGAUGGACUCGCGGCUUAUCAGCUUGUUGGUGGGGUAGUGGCUUACCAAGGCUUUGACGGGUAGCCGGCCUGAGAGGGCGACCGGCCACAUUGGGACUGAGAUACGGCCCAGACUCCUACGGGAGGCAGCAGUGGGGAAUAUUGCACAAUGGGCGGAAGCCUGAUGCAGCAACGCCGCGUGCGGGAUGACGGCCUUCGGGUUGUAAACCGCUUUCAGCAGGGGCGAAGCUUGUGGUGACGGUACCUGCAGAAGAAGCACCGGCUAACUACGUG
rnacentral:rRNA from 1 species